AUAUGUAAUAAGGGCAAAAGCUGGUGGCAAAAUUGCACAUCUGCAGGAGCUUCAAUGAGCGGCCUUAAAUAAGACCGUUCAAGUAUGGAUGGAAACCCGUGGAUGCUGAAAUCCAGAAGAAAGGUGUAAUGGAAGAGGCUCUCACUGUAGUCUGCAGGCCCAUCAUCUCUUGUAUCCCCUGCAUCAAUUAACACAAGAGACUACUAACGAGAUAAAUACAGAGCAUCAACAAACAAACAGAGUACAACAAAACAAUGAACACUCAACUAGUUUUCUACAAACGAAUUUGCAAGUUAUACUCCAAUAAUUCCAAGCCGAUGUGCAAAUUGUGGUUGGAACUGUGAAAAGGUAAGAGUUAGCUCAUAUUAUACCCUUUUUCUUCUAAUUAGUGUAAAGUUCACGAUUUGUUCUUAUGGUUUGUCAAAGCUACAAAUUUUAUUCUCCCAUUUUAAAACUCACAGAAAUACCCCCUUGUUUUCGAAACCUGUAACAUCAGUGGUCAUUUUGUUUAUACUAUUAAUCCCGCACGGUGUGGCAGAUGGGAAGUCAAUUGGUUUCAA